rnacentral:rRNA from 1 species
UGAGUAACACGUAGGUAACCUGCCCACGUGCCCGGGAUAACUUCUGGAAACGGAUGCUAAAACCGGAUAGGUAGCAGACAAGCAUUUGACUGCUAUUAAAGUGGCUAAGGCCAUGAACAUGGAUGGACCUGCGGUGCAUUAGCUAGUUGGUGAGGUAACGGCCCACCAAGGCGACGAUGCAUAGCCGGCCUGAGAGGGCGGACGGCCACAUUGGGACUGAGACACGGCCCAAACUCCUACGGGAGGCAGCAUG